CUCCUUUUCAGCAGAGCAUAUAUCUACAGUACCUACCGUACAUUAUGUCAUAAUCUUGCACUAAUGUUUCAGGUGUAUCGACCAUUAUCUAAGAUUCUACCGGAACAUGCUCCGAUGAUGCAUAUAGUGAAUUCUCUAAGAUCGUGGGCAAAAUCUGCAUGUAUACGCUCUCCUGCAGGUGGUGAACGCCAUUUUGACCGGAGUCAUGGUCGGGAUAGGCGUUUAUGGCCGCUACCGUCUAUUUACGCGUAUCCUCUUCCUCAGUGACAUAUUUGUAUAAUUGUAUAUUCGUGCAUGGCUAGUGACAUAAAAUUGAUCAGAGAUCGAUCGGAUCAUUUGAUUUUUUUUUUGUUUCAUUUUAAUUGUCUUGCGAAAAAGAAACACAAAUUAUAUAUAACUGCUGUUACUACAUCAGGAUACUACAAAUUGUGAAGAUACAAGUUAGUUUAAUUAAUUCGUAGUAAUUAAGUUUCAUUAUAUAAUUCUUUAGUGACAACUUAAUUACACGUUGUCCUUAUCUUCUCACACUGAAUUUAAUCGGGGGCAUAUAUAAAUUAAGAGCAACUGCUGCUAGCUGCUACAUCGCAUCAGGCCAUCAGCUAUAGAUGGAUCAUCAUCAGUCGUCCAUGGAAACGGGGGGAGGCAACAAGGCCU
rnacentral:lncRNA from 1 species